CCCGGAGGCUUGACUCCACUUCGUGUGUCCUCUGGGUUGCGGCAGUGAACCGGUCCGGCUGGCACCCCGCUGCAGGUCUGGCCGUGAGGGAGGCGUGGGGUCAGAUGAGUGUGUCCCAGCAGCGGGCCCGGUGACACGAGCCUGCAGGGCCGGGCCAGGGCCUGGAGAUAGGACCCGCCAGCAAGUAUGCGGAGAAUGUUUUUCUUCGGACUCUCCGGAGGCUCGCAGACCACAGGGAUUCCGUCCGCAGUGACAGCCUUAACAUUUGCCAGAGCCCUGGACGCCACUGCAGAAAUGGCAUUGCCCACCCGGAAAGUGAGAAGGUUGUAUAAAGAGGCAAAAUGAUGGGUUUGGGAGACACGUCGUCAAGGAGAGAGAGAAAUAGCUGAAUUGAGACCAGCUCUAAGAAUCAAUCAACUGAGCAUUCUCCAAAGCAGUGAAAGAGGACGGCUCGAGGCUACCCCGGUACAGGCGUUAGGAACCCUCAGUGCAAACACAGGUCAAAACGGCGAUGGCACCACCUGCCUCAAAAUGUGAGCAGCAAGCACAGAAAAGGCUUCUAGCGUGAAAGGAGUGCCUACGGAACG